GGCCCUGGGGUGUUACACGUGGGGUUGCAAACUCCAAGACGCAGGUUAACGCCUGCCGGGGCUU
rnacentral:tRNA from 1 species